GACGAACGCUGGCGGCGUGCUUAACACAUGCAAGUCGAACGCUGAAGCUUGGUGCUUGCACUGGGUGGAUGAGUGGCGAACGGGUUAGUAAUACGUGAGUAACCUGCCCUUGACUCUGGGAUAAGCCUGGGAAACUGGGUCUAAUACUGGAUACGACAUGUCACCGCAUGGUGUUGUGUGGAAAGGGUUUUACUGGUUUUGGAUGGGCUCACGGCCUAUCAGCUUGUUGGUGGGGUAAUGGCUCACCAAGGCGACGACGGGUAGCCGGCCUGAGAGGGUGACCGGCCACACUGGGACUGAGACACGGCCCAGACUCCUACGGGAGGCAGCAGUGGGGAAUAUUGCACAAUGGGCGGAAGCCUGAUGCAGCGACGCCGCGUGAGGGAUGACGGCCUUCGGGUUGUAAACCUCUUUCAGCACGGAAGAAGCGAAAGUGACGGUACGUGCAGAAGAAGCGCCGGCUAACUACGUG
rnacentral:rRNA from 1 species